rnacentral:lncRNA from 1 species
AAUGGGGAAAACACGGCCACAUAUUUUUAGGUCAUUUUCCCCUGUUCUUCCCCCCAUCUUUUAGAAAUAAGCAUUUUGGCUUGUAAACUGCAGAAAAUACCUUUACUGACAAUUUUGCUCCUAAUGAGCUCUUAUUUUACAAGAGCUUUAGGUAGUUUGCAGGGCCAAAAUGAAACAGCACAGUCUCUGAGCUGCUUGAUUCCAUAGCCAACAGCUCCCAGGUACGCAGGAACAAUCCCUAGACCUUUUGUUUUAUUAGAAAUACAACUGGAGACCCCAGCUUCAGAAAAUCAAUGUGUCAGAGCUUUGUGGCAACUCCUGGUGGUUCGUCAGUGACAUCUCAUCAAUGCUGCAGCCCCAGAAGAGAGAGCAUCAUAGGCUUCGUACAUAUUUUAUCGAUAUUAUUGUGUUUCCAUUGAUUGCCUGCCUCUGCAAUGGAGUUGUUGUGAUGUAUGGUCUCCUGCUGCUUUUCCAGAGUGGGACUUCUUGACCUGAAGGGCCUGUCAAGCCCAGGGGGUGUUUUUUGCAGCCUUGUGUGCUGCUUGACUUGUGAGCAUUUCCCCGAUGAACUCAUUGCUGGGUGAAAAGCAAAUGAAGAGCAAGAGAGACAAAAAGAAGGGGUGAAGAAAUAGGCACAGCUUAAGCUGGGACGUGGAGAUGGCUGAGUACAGCUGACAUGCUGGGAAACAGAAAUUCUGCAAUGCAACUUAUGUUGAGUUUAGCUGCAUCUCACCCAGAACAGCUCAGUGGCCUCCUGGGUGGUCCUGCAGCAUCCAAGGAAACAGAACCCAUCCCAAGGACCAACACACACUCGUACAAGGUCAUUGGAGGCAUGGAGGAG